GACGAACGCUGGCGGCGUGCUUAACACAUGCAAGUCGAACGGAAAGGCCCUGCUUUUGUGGGGUGCUCGAUUGGCGAACGGGUGAGUAACACGUGAGUAACCUGCCCUUGACUUUGGGAUAACUUCACGAAACUGGGGCUAAUACCGGGGAGGAGCUCCUGCUCCGCGUGGGUGGUUGGAAAGUUUCGGCGGUGGGGGAUGGACUGGAGGCUUCUGAGCUUGUUGGGGGGGUAGUGGCGUACCAGGGUUGUGACGGGUAGCCGGCCUGGGAGGGGGGCCGGCCACAUUGGGACUGAGAGACGGCCCAGACUGCUACGGGAGGCAGCAGUGGGGAAUAUUGCAGAGUGGGCGGAAGCCUGAUGCAGCAACGCCGCGUGCGGGAUGACGGCCUUCGGGUUGUAAACCGCUUUGGCCUGUGACGAAGCGUGAGUGACGGUAAUGGGUAAAGAAGCACCGGCUAACUACGUG
rnacentral:rRNA from 1 species